AAUAGGUUUCCAUACCCUGUUCCAAAGAUUCGCAUUAAUUGGAUGAAUUUGGAUUUACAGUUGGCUUGCAAAAUACUUUAGCUUAUCAAGUCAUUCUGUGCAUGUUCAACAAUGAUUACAUUCCAUAAAAUGAAAUGUUGUUGAGGAAUUUUUGUCAAAUGAUUCAUAUUCCUGCUGUAGCUUCCACAUUUCCUGCUGUAGGUUUAUUUUCUUUUAAUGGAUUUACAUGCCCUUUUAUAAGGCGUACAGUUGUAGCCAUGUUCAACAAUGAUUGCAUUCCAAAAAGUGAAAUGUUGUUGAUGAAAUUUUGUCAAAUGAUUCAUAUUCCUGUUGUAGCUUCCACAUAUUUCCUGCUGUAGGUUUAUUUUCUUUUAAUGGAUUUAAAUGCCCUUUUAUAAGGCGUACAGUUGUAGCCAUGUAUAAAUAUAUCAUGGUAGUCAAGAAAAAUAACAUUCGAGCUAUUUGUUUGUCUGAUGUUUUAAUAGUACAUUCCAUGAUCUAAAGCUCCACUUGUACCUCAGACUGGCAGGAUGUUUCCAAUGAGUGAUGAGUUAGAUUUACAGCUGUCAAUUGUUCUUGCUUAAGAAUCUCCAUGGAAUAAUUUGUAAACCCAAUUUGUGGAUGCCCAUCCAUGAUUACAGAGCAUGCCACAAAGUUGUGAUUCAAAUGCUUCAUGUGGAGCACAUGUCUCCUACAAAAGAUUCUUCAUAGGCUUCUCCUUUCUACGGAAAAGUGACUGCAAAAAAGCAACAGAAAUUGUCCAUAUCUAGCCAAAUGGUCUGCAACCUUCUCUACCGUGUCGUGAUUCUUCCAUGGAAGUUCCCUAAAUUCUUGAACCGAUCCUCUUGUUCCUCUGAGUUUCUUUAUUCUUCUUCCUCUGAUUUUCUUUCCCAUUCUUCCUCCUAUUUUCUAGGUUUCUCAGCAGAAAUGUCGCUCUCCAUCUCCGUGUCUGUUGAAUUAUUCAGGGUUUCUGUUGCCAGGGACUCUGCUUCCUUUUUAUCUGUCUGUGAAGAACUUUGGAAGACUGAUAAAGUAAUGCCAACAUGAACAAACUAAAGAAAAUUUAGUUCUGGCUGUAUGGACACCUCUGACAGUGCAAGAUAUAAAUUGGUUCCCUUUCCAACAAGUGAGUAGUGGUGGUUCUAUGGAACAGAGUUCAAGAUGUACAAUUCCUGCCAAGUAGUGAGAAUAUGUUGGACUGUAUCCCUCUGUUUCAUUCUGAACUAGAAACAUAUGGAAGGAAGGAAAACAUGUGUGGCUGACAUGUCAGAAAGCAUAUGACUUAUCAAUUCAAAUUGGAUCAACUAUAAGGAGCUGUGAUGUUAAUUCGGUGUUGACAGGGGACGAAAUGUCCCAGAUUAAUGACAUCACUCUCUCAGCGAUCGAUUUUGGCCUACAAGGCUAUACAAUAUCAUAUUUUGUACAACCCUUUUUAUGUAUUGUUUUGAUGGAAUAUGCAAGUCAUUUAAUUUCUGAUUUUUAAAAUAAUGUUUAAUUUAUUAUCUGUAAUAAUAUCUCAUGUUAAUUUUGUUUUUUUAGGGUACCCCCUCCGCUUCUAGGGCUCAUCCUAAGAAAAAGAAUUCCUCGAAGACGCCAAAAUGUGGGAAGAAGGUAAUUGAACACAUUUUUAGUUGUCCAAUUGUUUGAAAAUGUUGAAAUCAAGUAUUAGUUGGGGUUUGUAGAUUGAUUAGUGUUUUUUGUCUAUUUUACAUGUACAACGGCUAUUGAGCUAUGUGGAUUUGUUGAAUGCACUUGAUUCGCCCGUGGAUCAAGAAGGGGCGGAGGAAAUAUCCAUACCUAUUUCAUCAAUGGCGAACCCUCCUCAGUGCACUAGAGAAGCAUCUCAGGAUCCGGUAAUAGUGACAGUUUCUACAUCGAUGGUGAGCCAUCCUCAGUCCAUUGGAGAAGCAUCUUAGGCAUAGACCCCUUCGCGGUACAACCAUAACGUGGAUCCAUUUAAGUAUGUCUUCAAGAAAAUUCCUAAGAGUGACAAGGAGAGGAGAGCAAAGACAUUAGCUCCUAGACCAGCUGAUGAGUUUUGCAGCCAUCUACAGAGUUGUGUACUGCAUCGAAGAGGCUUGAUUUUGAUGAUCCACCACAAGUUUAGGAUCAUAUAGUGUUAGUUUUGGUCAUAGAAUGACCAAUACAUGUAGAUAUAUUUUACAUUUUUAUUAUAUAUCGAUUUGGACAUGGCAUAUGCCACAUUUUAGUAAUACUUGUAUUGACU